rnacentral:SRP_RNA from 1 species
GCUGGGCGUGGUGGCGUGUGCCUGUAAUCCCAGCUACUUGGGAGGCUGAGGCAGGAGAAUUGCUCGAACCCAGGAGGCGGAGGUUGCGGUGAGCUGAGAUCACAUCACUGCACUCCAGCCUGGGAGACAGAGCAAGACUCUGUCUCAA